UUCCUUUCGGGUAGUGAACAGCGCCGCUCAGAUCCUGCCUUCAUUCUAUCGUCACUUCUGGAAGUGAACAGGACCGGACAUCAACUACAGGUUUAUUUCUUCUCCCAAUCGACACUACGAGGCCAUGACGAGGCGCAAUACCGGCGCCUGCCUGGCGCCACUCUUGCUGCUGGCCACGCUGGGAGGCGCCUCUGUGCCCACUGGCCUGGACAUGAAGC